UUUUGGCACCACGACCUUCGGGCGCUUAUUUUUGGGCACGGCUUUGCCCGCGGCUUAUUUUUGGUGCCCCGAGGCCCCUCGCAAAGUCUCGCCCCAUUCCGAGUCCGGCGGACGAACUUCGCCCGCGCCCCCCACCAAGGCUAUAGCCCACCCGUUUUUUGGCCAUUUUUCCGCUGGGGGGUUUUGGCACCAAGACCUUCGGGCGCUUAUUUUUGGGCGCGGCUUUGACCUGCGGCUUAUUUUUGGCACCCCGAGGCCCCUCGCAAAGUCUCGCCCCAUUCCGAGUCCGGAGGACGAACUUCGCCCGCGCCCCCCACCAAGGCUAUAGCCCACCCGUUUUUUGGCUAUUUUUCCGCUGGGGGGUUUUGGCACCACGACCUUCGGGUGCUUAUUUUUGGACGCGGCUGUGCCCGCGACUUCCCGCGGGCACCUCGAGGCCCCUCGUAAAGUCUCGCCCCAUUCCGAGUCCGGCGGACGAACUUCGCCCGCGCCCCCCACCAAGGCUAUAGCCCACCCGUUUUUUGGCCAUUUUUCCGCUGGGGGGUUUUGGCACCACGAACUUCGGGCGCUUAUUUUUGGACGCGGCUGUGCCCGCGACUUCCCGCGGGCACCCCGAGGCCCCUCGCAAAGUCUCGCCCCAUUCCGAGUCCGGCGGACGAACUUCGCCCGCGCCCCCCACCAAGGCUAUAGCCCACCCGUUUUUUGGCCAUUUUUCCGCUGGGGGGUUUUGGCACCACGACCUUCGGGCGCUUAUUUUUGGACGCGGCUGUGCCCGCGACUUCCCGCGGGCACCCCGAGGCCCCUCGCAAAGUCUCGCCCCAUUCCGAGUCCGGCGGACGAACUUCGACCGCGCCCCCCACCAAGGCUAUAGCCCACCCGUUUUUUGGCCAUUUUUCCGCUGGGGGGUUUUGGCACCACGACCUUCGGGCGCUUAUUUUUGGACGCGGCUGUGCCCGCGACUUCCCGCGCGCACCUCGAGGCCCCUCGCAAAGUCUCACCCCAUUCCAAGUCCGGCGGACGAACUUCGCCCGCGCCCCCCACCAAGGCUAUAGCCCACCCGUUUUUUGGCCAUUUUUCCGCUGGGGGGUUUUGGCACCACGACCUUUGGGCACAUAUUUUUGGGCGCGGCUUUGUCCGCGGCUUAUUUUUGGUACCCCGAGGCCCCUCGCAAAGUCUCGCCCUAUUCCGAGUCCGGCGGACGAACUUCGCCCGCGCCCCCCACCAAGGCUAUAGCCCACCCGUUUUUUGGCCAUUUUUCCGCUGGGGGGUUUUGGCACCACGACCUUCGGGUGCUUAUUUUUGGGCGCGGCUUUGGCCGCGGCUUAUUUUUGGUACCCCGAGGCCCCUCGCAAAGUGUCGCCCUAUUCCGAGUCCGGCGGACGAACUUCGCCCGCGCCCCCCACCAAGGCUAUAACCCACCCGUUUUUUGGCCAUUUUUCCGCUUGGGGGUUUUGGCACCACGACCUUCGGGCGCUUAUUUUUGGACGCGAUUGUGCCCGCGACUUCCCGCGGGCACCUCGAGGCCCCUCGCAAAGUCUCGCCCCAUUCCAAGUCCGGCGGACGAACUUCGCCCGCGCCCCCCACCAAGGCUAUAGCCCACCCGUUUUUUGGCCAUUUUUCCGCUGGGGGGUUUUGGCACCACGACCUUUGGGCACAUAUUUUUGGGCGCGGCUUUGUCCGCGGCUUAUUUUUGGUACCCCGAGGCCCCUCGCAAAGUCUCGCCCUAUUCCGAAUCCGGCGGACGAACUUCGCCCGCGCCCCCCACCAAGGCUAUAGCCCACCCGUUUUUUGGCCAUUUUUCCGCUAUGGGGUUUUGGCACCACGACCUUCGGGCACUUAUUUUUGGACGCGGCUGUGCCCGCGACUUCCCGCGGGCACCCCGAGGCCCCUCGCACAGUCUCGCCCCAUUCCGAGUCCGGCGGACGAACUUCGCCCGCGCCCCCCACCAAGGCUAUAGCCCACCCGUUUUUUGGCCAUUUUUCCGCUGGGGGGUUUUGGCACCACGACCUUCGGGUGCUUAUUUUUGGACGCGGCUGUGCCCGCGACUUCCCGCGGGCACC
rnacentral:lncRNA from 1 species